ensembl:lncRNA
AAAAAGUUGAAAGUCCACAUCUGGAAUGAUGUGUGGACGUUCAAAUUAAAUUUUUGCAUUUGGCUGUGUCUGAACUCUGGCGUGAGAAGUGCCAUUUCUCUUCCACUUGAAAUUAAAAUGCGAUGCCGAAGUUAAGCCCAGUGCUUGCAUAUUGAGGGAUGCUCGCAAAGCAAAAGGGUCAGAAAUAAAAAUAUUACCUGCUGUCUAGAAGGCGGCAGCAACUACAGGCAGUUUGGAAAGUUGUUCCAGUUCCUCUGAACAGUAGAAGCAGUGCAAAGUGACCAGCGAUGGAGACUGACGAGUGGAGAGGAGUAUGGAAGAAGCGAAAAUUUAAGCAAAAACUUCUGAAGUCAACAAAAGGAACUGUAUAUUUUUAUUGUAAUGCUAUCUUCUAUGCUCUUUAUCUUCCCCAGCAAUAGAGAAAGCUUGAAGAACUGAUUAAAUGACUCUCAGGAUAACUUUUUGAUCAGGUAAUAUAAAUUGCCAUGGAAGCUGGAGAAGUACAGCUCACAAUAAGGGAGCUAAGAUUCCUCCAGCCCACACAGAGAUUUAAAAUCAAAUCUUGAAGCAUGGAUAAAAAUAUAUACAGAAGGAAUGAAAAACAAUGAGUGCUAAUGCGUCCUACAAUAUUUCCCACAUUAUUUCUCUUCUUGUUGAUCACGGCUGUGAUCUUUUCUUCAUAAUUUUGAAGUCAAACUCUAAGAAAAAUAUGACAACUAUUUUUUUUUUUUGCUUGUUUGUUUGUUUUGAGCCCAUCAGGCUUUUAAGCUGAAGGUUUUACUGCGGAGCACUAUGAUACGUUUACAAUGGCAGCUUCUCAGUCAACGUGUACCUGUGUGCAUUUACAGAAAAACAUGUGCCUCACAAAGUAGAAAAUACAUUUUAAAUUACUUUUUGACGCAUUUUGGCUUGCUUGCAAUUCAUCCUUGCAUUUUCCCUAUUGAAUUAUUUAUUAAUCUCUGGCUGUUUUAUUGAAGGGGUUAUACAGGCAUCACUGAAGACAUUCGAUGAAGAAACUGAACAAAGCUGUCCUGGAGAGACAAGGCUCCACAAAUCAAUUAGCUCUUUCUUUCCAGCAGUGAUAGACAGGGAAAGCCUGUCUUGAGCUUGCAUACUUGGUAAUGGUGCCAGCUGUUGCUUAUAAGCGGUGUGAUGGUGAUUGCUGAUUGCCUUGUGGUGCUGCCUGAGGAAUUACAUGAGUGGCAGGGAGGGAAGAAGAUGUGGCACCUCUCCUGGAGAGUGGUAGCUCAUGUUUAUUAACCAGUCCCUGCUGGUAUGUUUUUUAUUUAGAUUUAAUAUUAAACAAAACACCUGUGCAAAAGCCCAAGAUCCUCUUCAGAAGUAAUUAGAUUUGCAAUUGCUGCCCAGCAGCACAAGGAUGAAUGUACCAAUAAAUGAACUCUGCUAGCCUACGCCAGUGAGAACAGCAAUUUAGCCCAGCAGAUGAAAAUAGAAUUGCAAUGAAGCCUCUCAUUUCCAAGGCCAUCCAAGAA